AUUCAGCUUAAGAGUCCCAAACAAAACAAAACGCAUGUCCUGGAU
rnacentral:hammerhead_ribozyme from 1 species